GCUCCCUUAGCUCAGCUGGUUAGAGCAUCAGACUCUUAAUCUGAGGGUCCAGGGUUCAAAUCCCUGAGGGAGUACCA
rnacentral:tRNA from 1 species